rnacentral:rRNA from 1 species
CCAUGUCUUGUAAUUGGAAUGAGUAGAAUUCAAAUCCCUUUAUGAGUAUCGAUUGGAGGGCAAGUCUGGUGCCAGCAGCCGCGGUAAUUCCAGCUCCAAUAGCGUAUAUUAAAGUUGUUGCGGUUAAAAAGCUCGUAGUUGGAUUUCUGCUGAGGACGACCGGUCCGCCCUCUGGGUGAGUAUCUGGCUCGGCCUUGGCAUCUUCUUGGAGAACGUAACUGCACUUGACUGUGUGGUGCGGUAUUCAGGACUUUUACUUUGAGGAAAUUAGAGUGUUUCAAGCAGGCGCAUGCCUUGAAUACAUUAGCAUGGAAUAAUGAGAUAGGACCUUGGUUCUAUUUUGUUGGUUUCUAGAGCUGAGGUAAUGAUUAAUAGGGAUAGUUGGGGGCAUUCGUAUUUAACUGUCAGAGGUGAAAUUCUUGGAUUUACGAAAGAUAAACUUCUGCGAAAGCAUUCGGCAAGGAUGUUUUCAUUGAUCAAGAACGAAAGUUAGGGGAUCGAAGACGAUCAGAUACCGUCGUAGUCUUAACCAUAAACUAUGCCGACUAGGGAUCAGUGGAUGUCAAUUUGCGACUCCNUUGGCACCUUGUGAGAAAUCAA